rnacentral:rRNA from 1 species
UGUGACUCGUCACACUAUCAUUAACUGAAUCCAUAGGUUAAUGAGGCGAACCGGGGGAACUGAAACAUCUAAGUACCCCGAGGAAAAGAAAUCAACCGAGAUUCCCCCAGUAGCGGCGAGCGAACGGGGAGGAGCCCAGAGCCUGAAUCAGCAUGUGUGUUAGUGGAAGCGUCUGGAAAGGCGCGCGAUACAGGGUGACAGCCCCGUACACAAAAGCGCAUGUGCUGUGAGCUCGAUGAGUAGGGCGGGACACGUGGUAUCCUGUCUGAAUAUGGGGGGACCAUCCUCCAAGGCUAAAUACUCCUGACUGACCGAUAGUGAACCAGUACCGUGAGGGAAAGGCGAAAAGAACCCCGGCGAGGGGAGUGAAAAAGAACCUGAAACCGUGUACGUACAAGCAGUGGGAGCACCCUUUGGGUGUGACUGCGUACCUUUUGUAUAAUGGGUCAGCGACUUAUAUUCUGUAGCAAGGUUAACCGAAUAGGGGAGCCGGAGGGAAACCGAGUCUUAAUUGGGCGUUAAGUUGCAGGGUAUAGACCCGAAACCCGGUGAUCUAGCCAUGGGCAGGUUGAAGG